GCUUCGAUGGCAUUCCUAGCGGCGAGUCUGAAAUCGUUGACGAUUUGGGGGAUCUCGUCGGUUGUUAACCGUCGAGGGGGAGAGUAGGCCUCCACAGUGCCAUCAGGGUGAGUUUGAGGUGCAAUUUGCUUGUCCGUGCUUGAAAUUGGUGCUUGCCCAUUAGGUUGGUAAUCUAUAAAGUCACAUCAAAAUUAGGUAUUAGAGGAUCAUCACCAAUCAAUCUUAAUUACCAUUAAUUAAUGCCGUGCUCUAAUUAGACUCUGCACUAACUACCCAUGACAGAUUAAUUUUGGCAAUGCUUGCGUCCGCUCUACAAUCCAAGAGCAACAAAAGUGUGGCCUACAUGCAACCAUGAAUAAACUUAUUUAUUUGCAACUCUUAUCUUUACUAUGAAAUAACUAUUUUCUCUAACAUUUAAGCUGCUGAAGAUGGAGCGGAGUUUCCAACAUAUUAUGGUCAGUACCGGAUCUCAUGUUUCCAGUAAUGGCUUAGGACGUAUUGCUAUGAUACCAUAUGAAACAGACUUUUUACUAUAAGAAAUUAAACAAUUAGAAAACAAUAUAGUGGCAAAAGCAAAAUUCAUAUAUUGAAACUACCAAAGUGAGCAUGCACCACUACAUAAGAAGGGAGUUAGAGAACAAAUACAUACGAUAGGCAGAAACCCUUCCAACAUGCCCAAUCUGGCAAAAGAAGACACCCCCUUUUUUGUGCACAGCAUUCACAAUGGGUUUCCAUGCCUCCACCUGCUCCUUAGUCCAUAUGCCUGGAGUGUUUGGGUAACCCUGGGCUGUGUCUGAGACACCUGUGGCCUCAGCAAUCAGAAGCACCCCCUUUGUUGUCCUUUGAGAAUAAUACAGAAUGGCAUGUGGCUGGGGAACAUUUCCAUAAGAUCUUGUUCUUGUUAAUGGAGCCAGAACAAUUCUGAGGCAAAUAUAAAACACCAACUUUUAAUUUUCCACUCAGAAAAAGAAAGAAAGAAAGAAAGAAACUAUGUAUCAAAGAGAGAGAGAGAGAGAGAGAGAGGAAAUUAAAGAGUAGCACCUGUGGGAGAGAUCAAAUUUGCCCAUCUUGUAAGGAGUGAGAAGAGGAAUUGGUGCCAUCUUUGACUAUUGAUCUCUAUGUACCUCUGUUCUCUGUUCUCAGUUCUCAGUUUCUCUUCUUGCUUUAAUUUGUUGGCUCUGUUUGGUGGGAGAAAACAGAGGGAGACAUGGUAUUUAUAGAGGAUGUCUCACGUCUGAAAAGUAGAAAAGCAGCCGGCUUCUGCUGGUCCAAUUGUGGCAUCACAUUGACUUCAUCUCCCCGGAAAUUAAGAAUCGUGUGCACCACGUCCACCAUGCCAGACCGUACACCGUCAUAGAGUAUUCCAUAGAUGGAAAUGUCUUUGCUGUAACACAACCUAAAUUAAUUUUAAAAGAAUCUAUUUUGUUAUAAAAUAAUAAUUUUAUUGUACAAUAACUAUGACAGCGAUCUUUUUUUUUCCCCUACAUAAGGUUGUAAGGUGCGGUGUAUAAAAACAUGUGGUGCAAUCGGUGCACGCUAUAGUUUCUGCUCUGCUUAUGUUUAGUCGUCCCGUGAUAGUUCCUACGUCAGCGAAUACGUUGGUCUUGCCCCUGAUAAUCCCUACAUCAGCGAAUACGCUGGUCUUGUGAAGUUAAAAUAUUUGGAAAUAUGCUAAUAUUAUUUAUAAAAUUAUNAAGGUGCGGUGUAUAAAACAUGUGGUGCAAUCGGUGCACGCUAUAGUUUCUGCUCUGCUUAUGUUUAGUCGUCCCGUGAUAGUUCCUACGUCAGCGAAUACGUUGGUCUUGCCCCUGAUAAUCCCUACAUCAGCGAAUACGCUGGUCUUGUGAAGUUAAAAUAUUUGGAAAUAUGCUAAUAUUAUUUAUAAAAUUAUGGAAAAACUUCAAAAAAUUACAUGUGGUUUCACACGUUUUCAUUUUAGUACCCUUUGAUUUAAAAUGUAUCAAAUUAGUACCAUAUGGUUUCUCACUUUAUCACUUUAGUACCAUAUGGUUUAAAGUGUAUCAAGUUACUACCCUGUAGUUUUACACUUUAUCACUUUAAUACCCUGUGGUUUAACAGUUUAUCACUUUAGUACCCUGUGAUUUUUUAAAUCACCGGGUACUAACUUGAUACAAAAUUAAAACCACAGGGUACUAAAGUGAUAAAGUACAAAACCGCAUGGUACUAACUUGAUACACUUUAAACUAUAGGGUAUUAAAGUGAUAAAGUGAGAAACCAUAGGGUACUAACUUGAUACAUUUUAAACCAUAGGGUACUAAAGUGAAAAAAAAUUGAACCACAAGGAUGGUUUUUGAAGUUUUUCCUAAAAUUAUUAUCUAAAUCACAGGUGCGUUUUCGAAAAAAUAGUAAAAUUAGUUACAGAUUCUCAACGCGUAACCAAUGGAAAUACUACUUCAAAUAUUAAGGGCGUGUUUGAUUCGUUUCUUUUUCACCUGGAGUCGGAAUCGGAAUGGACGAAUCCGCUUGUGGGUGUUUGGUACGCAGGAGUCCCAUUCCAAUUCCGAUUCCCGAGNGUACCUCCGGCCACUUUUUGUUUUUUAACUCAUUUGAAGAUCGUUUCUAAAAAAAUGUGCUGACAAUCCAAUCCAACUCUAAGAUAAACUUACUUACUUAUAAAAUAAAUCAAGUUAAAUGAGCUACUUAUAGAUUAUAAAUCAUUUAUUUCUUACUUAAAAUUACCUUUACUCAAAACGAAACAAAAUUGUUUCCACCAUCUAUUCGCCUACUAAGGACAAAAAUUGAAUGUACAUCGUUUCCAAACUACAAGUUUGGAGACAAUACGGAAAUUACAAAUUUGGAGACAAUGCGGAUGGAUGCCGCGUGACCCAUAGGAUGAGCAGAAAUGGGCCCUUUUUCUUCCUUUGCUUCUUUCUCGCUCUCUCUAAAAACUCAAAGUGCACGUCUUUUAUUUUCUUUUUUAUUUUCUUUUUUUUGGGUUCUGCUUGUCUGAUGGGCCACGCGGCGCUCAUCCGGGAUGAUGCCCACACAAUUAAUUUUUGUCCGCCUAACAACUACCGUACGAACCAUGCUGAUGAUAAUUUUACCACAAAAGAAACAAUUAAGACAACAAUACUUCACCUAUAAAAUCACUUUAUUCACGAUGCAUGUGUAAUGUAAACAAUGCCAUGUUACAAGUGGAAACGAACAAUCUUAACUCUACGUACCACUCUUAUUUCACUAAUUGAUUAACAAAACAAAUUGGCAAAAAAAUUCAAGCAGAGGACUCAAGAAAUGGGUAAUCUGUGUACCCAACAACAGGAUCAGAAGUGUAAAAUGUCGCUCUAUCAUACUGAUUCAAUGGCGCAUUAAGCUCGAAUCGCUUCGGCAAAUCGGGAUUAGCCAAGAACAACCGGCCAUAAGCCACAAGAUCAGCAUAACCUUCGGCGAUCACUUUGUUCCCUUCCUCCCUAUCAUAUCCUCCCGCGGCAAUGAAAGUUCCAUUGAAAGCUUUCCUCAUAGGCAGAAGCCUAUGAGGGAUUUGGCGCCGCCCUUCGACGAUAGACAUUCGGGGCUCGACCAUAUGGCAGUAGAGAAUGUUGUACUUGUUUAGUGAUUUGACCAUGUAGAACCCGAGAGCUUCAGGAUUUGAGUCCCAGCAAUCCAUGUAGUCGGCGAAAGGUGAGAGCCUUAUUCCGACUCUGUCAGCUCCGAUCUCCUUGACGACCGCCUCGACGAUCUCUAGCGCAAAGCGGCACCGGUUCUCGAGGCUCCCCCCGUACUCGUCCGUUCGGUCAUUGGCACUGUCCUUCAUGAAUUGCUCGAUUAGGUAGCCAUGCGCACCGUGGAUUUCGACCCCAUCAAAGCCUGCAAGUAUGUAACAGUAGUGUGAACAUAUGGCGAAUUGAUCUACAAAACUGAUUUGAAGUUUUGUGGUAGAAGUUUUAUGUUAGUAGAGACAUUACCUGCUUCGAUGGCAUUCCUAGCGGCGAGUCUGAAAUCGUUGACGAUUUGGGGGAUCUCGUCGGUUGUUAACCGUCGAGGGGGAGAGUAGGCCUCCACAGUGCCAUCAGGGUGAGUUUGAGGUGCAAUUUGCUUGUCCGUGCUUGAAAUUGGUGCUUGCCCAUUUGGUUGGUAAUCUAUAAAGUCACAUCAAAAUUAGGUAUUAGAGGAUCAUCACCAAUCAAUCUUAAUUACCAUUAAUUAAUGCCGUGCUCUAAUUAGACUCUGCACUAACUACCCAUGACAGAUUAAUUUUGGCAAUGCUUGCGUCCGCUCUACAAUCCAAGAGCAACAAAAGUGUGGCCUACAUGCAACCAUGAAUAAACUUAUUUAUUUGCAACUCUUAUCUUUACUAUGAAAUAACUAUUUUCUCUAACAUUUAAGCUGCUGAAGAUGGAGCGGAGUUUCCAACAUAUUAUGGUCAGUACCGGAUCUCAAGUUUUCAGUAAUGACUUAGGACGUAUUGCUAUG
rnacentral:lncRNA from 1 species